CCCAAAACUUCAAUCUACUCCUAUAUCUAUAACAAUAAUAAUUAUUGGGUUUCAAUAUCAUAUAGCUGAGCAGUUCUAGACAGACUAAGUUUGUCUGUGAAGAUGAGUAACCAGAGACACUUCAUGCUGCUUUUAGCAACAGCUAUCAUCAUCCUACACCACAUCGCAUUUGGACAAGAUUCAAACUGUAUUUGUUCUAUAGAGACGAACGGUCAUCAAAAAGAGUGUGAUAUUACUUUUGAUACGGAGAAGAUUGGAAAUGACACAAUAAUUCGUUUCUGCUCAGGAGAUAUUGAUAUUUCCAAGCCAAUUAUUUUGAGCAAUCUCACCAAUAUCACAUUUGUUGGCAAGAAUAACACUACAUUAAGAUGCAAUGGGAUCGAAGGCGGCCUAAAGUUUGUACACGUUACCAGCUUGACUAUCAGAAGUUUGAAAAUAGUUGGUUGUGGCUUGGUACAUGACAGUACAACCGAGGACAAGUAUAUGAAUAGCACGAUUCAACUGAGCAGCGCAUUGUACAUUAUUAACUGUACUGACCUUUUCGUUAAUGGACUUUAUGUCUUCAACAAUUCUGGAGUUGGUCUUGUUAUGUAUGAUGUCAGUGGAGUUGUUGAGAUAUUAAAUUCUGUUUUCGAGCACAAUUCACAGCAGAACACAAAAAUUGUUUCCGAGGCGGUGGACUUUACAUUGAAUUCACUGUCUGCGCAACUGGUGUUUACUGCACAGAUUUUAACAGCAAGCCUGAAAAUAUGAGAGCAAGGGGGAAUCGUUAUUUGCUGGCUAACUGCACAUUUUCGGGGCUCAAAAUACAUGCAAUACAAGAAUAACUCACGGCUAAAUCACCAAGGGCUGGGCAGAGGUGGUGGACUGUCAAUACAGCUAAGUGGGAAAUCUAACUUCAAUACAUUUACAAUUCGUGACUGUACAUUCAGAGCUAACGAAGCAAAUUGGGGAGGUGGUCUCUACAUAGUCAUACAAGACUCUAGCAGUCACAACAUCAUUAAGCUACGAUUCAAGAUAAUACGUGUAAACAUUUUGGAGGUGGUGGUGUGGACAUAGGCUACAAUACUGCUUUAAUAUCCAACAAUACAGUGCAUUUUAAUCACUGUACAUUUGAAAGAAACUGGGCAGUUUAUGGGGGAGGGAUUCGAGUCUACUCAAUUCGAAGAGAAAAAUCUGAUUUGCUCAAUGUCUUGGAGUUUUAUCAUUGUAAUUGGACACAAAAUGAAGCUAAAUACGGAUCAGCAAUUGAUAUUGCUCCACAUGUAUGGGAGAUUUUAUCUAAAGGAUUCUUACCAGUACCAGUGUUUCAUAACUGUGAAUUCAGAUCAAAUACAGUGAGUUUGGAUUCUCAGAACUAUACAGGUUAUGAAAUGGAAGGGGUUCAAUGAUGCUUACAGAUUUCAAUGCAAUAUUUAGUGGUUUGAUAAUAUUUGAAGGUAACUCAGGCUCUGCACUCUACCUUUCAUCUAGUAUCAUUACAACAAGACCUGAGACCAUAUGCAAGUUUGUCGGAAAUGACGGAUUUGAAGGUGGUGCAAUUGCAUUUGUUGGAUUAUCAGCUUUGUUUGUGAUGGAAAAAACUCAUUUACUUUCAAUAAAAACACUGCUUUGAGAAGGGGUGGAGCUAUCUAUGAGUACAACAUUGACAAACACAACUUUGUAUCAUCGAGAAGUUGUUUUAUUCAAUAUCAUGGAUCAGUUGACUCAAAAAAUUCGAAUGUAACAUUUGAAUUUAAAGACAAUUACGCUGAGAUUGCCGAGGGCAAUCAAACUGAAUGUUACGCUGCUGGCCAUGACAUCGUCUCUCCUUCAUUACAAACGUGUAUUACUGCAUGCAAUCAUCCAACUGAGGGAUUCAAACGUACGACUCAUCACUAUGCACAUACAUUCACCUGUGUUGGUACAUUCAUUUUCCAUGCUGCCGAUAUCAAAUGUCAUCUAUCAACUUCAGGAGGACAAUUUCAAAUAAACAAAACAAUGUUUCUUGGUGACAACCAGUACUUUAAAGUAUACCCUGGACGUAAAACUAAUUUGCCAAUAUCAGUAAUAAAUGAUUACUACCAAACAAUAGAUGCAGUAUACUACGCAACACUAAGUCAAAAUACAUCAAGUGUCAAACUCGGUCAACCGUACACGUAUAUAUCCAAUAGAAAGGUGCAACUAAAUGGGCAACCUGGAAGUGAUAGUGUGCUAAGACUACAAAAAUUAGGAUAUCGAGAAUUGAGGCUUAACAUCAAUAUAUCUCUCUUGGAAUGCCCACCAGGGUAUUUUUUGGAUGAAUCUACCGAAAACUGCAUUUGCAGUGCUUCAACUUUGGAAACGGCAUUUCGACCCAUACAUCAGUGUGAUUAUAAACUAUUUCAAGCACAUUUGCAAAAAGGAUACUGGUUUGGGUUCAAUAACAACACACGUAAUUUUGAAUACGGAUACUGUCCUGGUGGCUAUUGUAAUCACUUUGAUCAAAACUCAGUCUUACCUAAAACUAAAGAGAUGCUUGACAAGGAGGUCUGUGGCAUUUAUCGAACUGGAAGGCUCUGUGGUGAAUGUCGAGAGAAUUAUUCCGUUCAUUAUCAUGGGAUGAAUCACAACUGUCAAAAAAAUGAAUCGUGUGAUUACGGAUGGCUUCUUUACAUUAUAUCUGAGCUUUUCCCACUAACUGUUUUAUUUGUCUUGACAACUGUACUAAACAUUAGUUUCACAUCUGGCGCAGUCAAUGGAUUUAUUUUCUUUUCACAAGUGAUUGAUUCUAUACCUGUCACUGGAAAUUCAUUCAUCAUAUUUCCAAAUCCAGUGUAUCAUAUAUACACAUGCAAUAACCAGAAUGAUCUACAAUGUGUUCAAUUUAGAUUUCUUCCUUCAUGAUAACCUUUCAUUUUGCCUAUGGAGAGGAGCCACAACAAUGGAUAUGCUUAUGUUCAAGUUUACAACUGUUGUUUAUGUACUUCUUUUGGUAAUCAUAACUGUUGGCCUGAUAAACUACUGUAAUAUUCUGCAGAAAUGCAGUUGUUUUCGUUACUCUACUAUUAAGUCGUCCAUUAUACACGGUUUAUCAGCAGUGCUCGUGAUUGUGUUUUCCCGAUGCUUCAAAGUUUGUAGUCAAAUCCUUAAUAUCACCCAUGUAUACGGCCAGGGUAAUAUCUUCUAUCAAACUGUUGUAUUUCUUCAAGGUAACUUGACGCCAUUUUCAGGGGAUCAUCUGAAGUAUGCUAUUUUUGCAGUUCUGUGCAUGCUCAUCAUGUUUAUUCCAAUGCUGCUUCUACUAAUAAUUUAUAUCCAUUUUGUUUCAAACUGUUGUCCAUUUGUAAAUGUGUUGAUACAAGUUCAACAUUGUACGACUUCAGAAGGAGUUAAGAGGUCGACCUACAAAACUGAGGCUGUAUGCCAUCAACAUUGGCUACGCUGUGAUUGCGUAUACAAUCUUCAAUAUUGCGGUUUUUGCAGGAUAUUUUAGGUUUUUUGAAAACUUGAAGGAAAAUGUAAUAUUAAACUACUCGAGGCGUAACUACCUGUUGAUAGCUGCUCGUGUGGCCCUGCUUUUCAUGCUAAUCACCAGUUACCCUGUGGGACUGCACCCGGGCAGAGACGCUACAAACAGUGUGUUCCUACUGGUACACGACCUUAUUUCAAGUAAAUUCUGCAAGAAAAAGAAGUCGACGAAGAAUGGCCAAAAUACUAAUUUGAGAGCAAAUGGAGAAUCUGAAAAUGUUAAUACCGUCGAAACUGAUAUGCAAUCGCCCAAACCUGACAGUGUAAGUGAUAAGGACGAAUUACAGUCUCUUUCAGAAUGCAGUGGGAGCACUGGCAAGGAAGAUUCAAGAUCAGCUGGUGAAUCUAAACAUGGCAAUCAUAAGGUUUGUGCUUAUUAUCUAUAAAGGCCUGACACCAUCAACUAUUAACUCUCUUUUGGCCUGAAAUGAGAAGAAAUGGCCUAAUUAGUGUUCCGACAGUAAUCUGGUUCUGUGAGACCUACAUGUUUUUUGCACUCUCGUUCAUACCAGCCAGCUUCAUCUUGAACGUUGGAAUCGUAUGGAACUUUGUCAGCUCUAUAGGAGGAGUGCUUAUCCUCUACAUCUACCCUGCGGCAAUUUACCUCAAGCUACGAUAUGCUCGAUACAAAAAACGUGGUCAAGAUAACAACAUAAGCAUUCGAUCGCAGUACACUACCAAGGCAGCUGUAGAAGAAGUCAUAGCAUGGUGUAUCCUGCUGAUUGGUAUUGUACUACUCUUCCUGACUAAUUAUCAAGCUCUCUAUACUGUUAUAGAGACUGGCAACGAUAGCGGUGGACUGUGUUUUCAGCUGGAGUGUAGGACCGUUGAACAAUGGAACCAAACUUACUUUGACCUUUCAUGACUAUAGAUUAACUGUGCUUUGUGUACAAUGUGCAUAAAGACUAACAAUAAUUAUUAUUUAUGUAUUUUAAAGUACGAUUGUUCAAUGAUCCAGCGACUUUA